UGAGGAAUCUUCCACAAUGGGCGCAAGCCUGAUGGAGCGACACCGCGUGAAGGAUGAAGGUCUAACGAUUGUAAACUUCUUUUCUGGGGGAGCAUAAUGAGAGUACCUCAGGAAUAAGGGACGGCUAAAUACGUGCCAGCAGCCGCGGUAAUACGUAUGUCUCGAGCGUUAUCCGGAAUUACUGGGUGUAAAGAGUUCGUAGGCGGCGAAUUAAGUUAGGUAUGAAAGACCGGAGCUCAACUCCGUGUUUGUGCUUAAAACUGGUUUGCUAGAAUUAGGGAGAGGUAAGCGGAAUUCUAAGUGUAGGGGUGCAAUCCGUAGAUACUUAGAGGAACACCAAAAGCGAAGGCAGCUUACUGGAACUAUAUUGACGCUGAGGAACGAAAGCGUGGGGAGCGAA
rnacentral:rRNA from 1 species